AACCUACGGGAGGCAGCAGUGGGGAAUAUUGGGCAAUGGGCGCAAGCCUGACCCAGCAACGCCGCGUGAAGGAAGAAGGCUUUCGGGUUGUAAACUUCUUUUCUCAGGGACGAAGAAAGCGACGGUACCUGAGGAAUAAGCCACGGCUAACUACGUGCCAGCAGCCGCGGUAAUACGUAGGUGGCAAGCGUUAUCCGGAUUUAUUGGGUGUAAAGGGCGUGUAGGCGGGAGCGCAAGUCAGACGUGAAAUUCCAGGGCUCAACCCUGGAACUGCGUUUGAAACUGUUCUUCUUGAGUGAUGGAGA
rnacentral:rRNA from 1 species